UACGUAGGGUCCGAGCGUUGUCCGGAUUUAUUGGGCGUAAAGAGCUCGUAGGCGGUCUGUCGCGUCGGCUGUGAAAACUCGGGGCUCAACCCCGAGCCUGCAGUCGAUACGGGCAGACUAGAGUGCUGUAGGGGAGACUGGAAUUCCUGGUGUAGCGGUGAAAUGCGCAGAUAUCAGGAGGAACACCGGUGGCGAAGGCGGGUCUCUGGGCAGUAACUGACGCUGAGGAGCGAAAGCGUGGGGAGCGAACAGG
rnacentral:rRNA from 1 species